rnacentral:rRNA from 1 species
GACGAACGCUGGCGGCGUGCUUAACACAUGCAAGUCGAACGGGUCUGCCCUGUUUUUUGCGGGGUGGGUCAGUGGCGAACGGGUGAGUAACACGUGAGUAACCUGCCCCUCACUUCUGGAUAACCGCUUGAAAGGGUGGCUAAUACGGGGUGUUCUGGCUGUGCCGCAUGGUGUGGCUGGGAAAGAUUCACUUUUGUGGUGUUUUGGUGGGGGAUGGGCUCGCGGCCUAUCUGCUUGUUGGUGGGGUGAUGGCCUGCCAAGGCUUUGACGGGUAGCCGGCCUGAGAGGGUGGGCGGUCACACUGGGACUGAGAUACGGCCCAGACUCCUGCGGGAGGCAGCAGUGGGGGGUAUUGCACAAUGGGCGGAAGCCUGAUGCAGCGACGUCGCGUGAGGGAUGGAGGCCUUCGGGUUGUGAACCUCUUUCGCCGGUGAAGAAGGUCCUGCUCUUUGUGGUGGGGUUGACGGUAGCCGGGUUAUGAAGCGCCGGCUAACUACGUG